rnacentral:rRNA from 1 species
AGGAAUCUGCCUGGUAGUGGGGGACAACGUCUCGAAAGGGACGCUAAUACCGCAUACGUCCUACGGGAGAAAGCAGGGGACCUUCGGGCCUUGCGCUAUCAGAUGAGCCUAGGUCGGAUUAGCUAGUUGGUGAGGUAAUGGCUCACCAAGGCGACGAUCCGUAACUGGUCUGAGAGGAUGAUCAGUCACACUGGAACUGAGACACGGUCCAGACUCCUACGGGAGGCAGCAGUGGGGAAUAUUGGACAAUGGGCGAAAGCCUGAUCCAGCCAUGCCGCGUGUGUGAAGAAGGUCUUCGGAUUGUAAAGCACUUUAAGUUGGGAGGAAGGGUUGUAGAUUAAUACUCUGCAAUUUUGACGUUACCGACAGAAUAAGCACCGGCUAACUCUGUGCCAGCAGCCGCGGUAAUACAGAGGGUGCAAGCGUUAAUCGGAAUUACUGGGCGUAAAGCGCGCGUAGGUGGUUUGUUAAGUUGGAUGUGAAAGCCCCGGGCUCAACCUGGGAACUGCAUUCAAAACUGACAAGCUAGAGUAUGGUAGAGGGUGGUGGAAUUUCCUGUGUAGCGGUGAAAUGCGUAGAUAUAGGAAGGAACACCAGUGGCGAAGGCGACCACCUGGACUGAUACUGACACUGAGGUGCGAAAGCGUGGGGAGCAAACAGGAUUAGAUACCCUGGUAGUCCACGCCGUAAACGAUGUCAACUAAAGCGUUGGGAGCCUUGAGCUCUUAGUGGCGCAGCUUACGCAUUAAGUGAACCCUUAGGGAAUGGGG